GUGUUGUAUAAAGGAGAAAAGGUUAGCACUCCCCUUGACAAGGACGGAAGAGGCCCUCGGGUCUGACAACAUGUGUACGGUUAAAGCAUUGCCACCUACUUCGUGGUAUCUAACCACUGUUAAAA
ensembl:snRNA